rnacentral:rRNA from 1 species
UUAGGCGUGUGACUGCGUACCUUUUGUAUAAUGGGUCAGCGACUUAUAUUCUGUAGCAAGGUUAACCGAAUAGGGGAGCCGAAGGGAAACCGAGUCUUAACUGGGCGUUAAGUUGCAGGGUAUAGACCCGAAACCCGGUGAUCUAGCCAUGGGCAGGUUGAAGGUUGGGUAACACUAACUGGAGGACCGAACCGACUAAUGUUGAAAAAUUAGCGGAUGACUUGUGGCUGGGGGUGAAAGGCCAAUCAAACCGGGAGAUAGCUGGUUCUCCCCGAAAGCUAUUUAGGUAGCGCCUCGUGAAUUCAUCUCCGGGGGUAGAGCACUGUUUCGGCAAGGGGGUCAUCCCGACUUACCAACCCGAUGCAAACUGCGAAUACCGGAGAAUGUUAUCACGGGAGACACACGGCGGGUGCUAACGUCCGUCGUGAAGAGGGAAACAACCCAGACCGCCAGCUAAGGUCCCAAAGUCAUGGUUAAGUGGGAAACGAUGUGGGAAGGCCCAGACAGCCAGGAUGUUGGCUUAGAAGCAGCCAUCAUUUAAAGAAAGCGUAAUAGCUCACUGGUCGAGUCGGCCUGCGCGGAAGAUGUAACGGGGCUAAACCAUGCACCGAAGCUGCGGCAGCGACGCUUAUGCGUUGUUGGGUAGGGGAGCGUUCUGUAAGCCUGUGAAGGUGUGCUGUGAGGUAUGCUGGAGGUAUCAGAAGUGCGAAUGCUGACAUAAGUAACGAUAAAGCGGGUGAAAAGCCCGCUCGCCGGAAGACCAAGGGUUCCUGUCCAACGUUAAUCGGGGCAGGGUGAGUCGACCCCUAAGGCGAGGCCGAAAGGCGUAGUCGAUGGGAAACAGGUUAAUAUUCCUGUACUUGGUGUUACUGCGAAGGGGGGACGGAGAAGGCUAUGUUGGCCGGGCGACGGUUGUCCCGGUUUAAGCGUGUAGGCUGGUUUUCCAGGCAAAUCCGGAAAA